UAGAUACCCAGGUAGUCCACGCCGUAAACGGUGGGCACUAGGUGUGGGCAACAUUCCACGUUGUCCGUGCCGCAGCUAACGCAUUAAGUGCCCCGCCUGGGGAGUACGGCCGCAAGGCUAAAACUCAAAGGAAUUGACGGGGGGCCCGCACAAGCGGCGGAGCAUGUGGCUUAAUUCGACGCAACGCGAAGAACCUUACCAAGGCUUGACAUACACCGGAAAGCAUCAGAGAUGGUGCCCCCCUUGUGGUCGGUGUACAGGUGGUGCAUGGCUGUCGUCAGCUCGUGUCGUGAGAUGUUGGGUUAAGUCCCGCAACGAGCGCAACCCUUGUCCCGUGUUGCCAGCAACUCUUCGGAGGUUGGGGACUCACGGGGAGACCGCCGGGGUCAACUCGGAGGAAGGUGGGGACGACGUCAAGGUCAUCAUGCCCCUUAUGUCUUGGGCUGCACACGUGCUACAAUGGCCGGUACAAUGAGCUGCGAUACCGCAAGGUGGAGCGAAUCUCAAAAAGCCGGUCUCAGUUCGGAUUGGGGU
rnacentral:rRNA from 1 species